rnacentral:rRNA from 1 species
UACGUAGGGUGCGAGCGUUAAUCGGAAUUACUGGGCGUAAAGCGUGCGCAGGCGGUCUUGCAAGACAGAUGUGAAAUCCCCGGGCUCAACCUGGGAACUGCAUUUGUGACUGCAAGGCUGGAGUACGGUAGAGGGGGAUGGAAUUCCGCGUGUAGCAGUGAAAUGCGUAGAUAUGCGGAGGAACACCGAUGGCGAAGGCAAUCCCCUGGACCUGUACUGACGCUCAUGCACGAAAGCGUGGGGAGCAAACAGG